rnacentral:tRNA from 1 species
GCCAGAGUGGUGGAACGGUAGACACGCGGCACUUAGGAUGCCGUGCCUUCGGGCGUGGGGGUUCGAUUCCCCCCUCUGGCA